AUUACACUCCAUGGAGUAACAACAUGUAACUUAAUAGCCUAUCAUUGCCUAGAGCUAGGCUAGAAUCAUUUUCCCCACAGGGUAGCAUCGGGUCAUAGAAAUAAUGUUAUACGUUAGUGAACAGUGGAAAAUGAUCAACAAUCCACUGAUGAGUGAGUGAGGUGCUUAUUGGCGAAUGUGUCCAGCAAACAUUGAGAUUAAGUCAGUUAAGUGGGAGAGAGGAUGGGAUGACAGCCGCAAGUCGUAACCAAACCCGCGGCCACUGCAACAAGGACUGAGCCUUUGCACACUCAACCAGGCUCCCAGGAUCCACCCUCUCAUUCACCAGUUUGCUGGUGUGGAGCGUCCAAGAACAACUCUGUUGUGAAUGAGCUGCCACUGCCCAUCAA